rnacentral:rRNA from 1 species
UACGUAGGGGGCUAGCGUUGUCCGGAAUCAUUGGGCGUAAAGAGCGCGUAGGCGGCCCGGUAAGUCCGCUGUAAAAGUCAAAGGCUUAACCUUUGAAAGUCAGUGGAUACUGCCGGGCUAGAGUCCGGAAGAGGCGAGUGGAACUCCUGGUGUAGCGGUGGAAUGCGCAGAUAUCAGGAAGAACACCAACGGCGAAGGCAGCUCGCUGGGACGGAACUGACGCUGAGGCGCGAAAGCGUGGGGAGCGAACAGG